CCCUUAGAUGUUCUGGGCAGCACGCGCGCUACAAUGGUCUUCGCAAACGGAUGCAUUCUCGAAGGAGAAUGCCAAUCUUGGAAUCUAUGCCUUGGUCGGGACAGUUGCUUGCAAUUUUUCGACUCGAACCAGGAAUUCCUUGUAAUCGUGAUUCAUCACAUCACGAUGAAUACGUCCCUGCCCUUUGUACACACCGCCCGUCGCUCCUACCGAUCGAAGAGUUAGGUGAAUUGUAUUGAUCGAUAAGAUUUGACUAUGGUCAACUCUCGUUGUGAAAUUCUGUGAAUCUGACUGUUUAGAGGAAGGAAAAGUCGUAACA
rnacentral:rRNA from 1 species